rnacentral:rRNA from 1 species
GCUUAGCCUUAAACCUUGAUAUUAUUUCACAUUUACUAUCCGCCCGGGAACUACGAGCACUAGCUUAAAACCCAAAGGACUUGGCGGUGCUUAACAACCCCCUAGAGGAGCCUGUUCUAGAACCGAUACCCCUCGUUAAACCUCACCCCUUCUUGUUUUUCCCGCCUAUAUACCGCCGUCGUCAGCUUACCCUGUGAAGGAACACUAGUAAGCAAAAUUAGCAAAGCCCAAAACGUCAGGUCGAGGUGUAGCAAAUGAAGGGGGAAGAAAUGGGCUACAUUUUCUGGUACCAGAAUAUACGAAAAGUGUACUGAAACGUACACUAGAAGGAGGAUUUAGUAGUAAGAAGGAAAUAGAGCGUCCUUCUGAAGCUGGCCCUUAAGCGCGC